GACGAACGCUGGCGGCGUGCUUAACACAUGCAAGUCGAACGCUGAAGCUCAGCUUGCUGGGUGGAUGAGUGGCGAACGGGUGAGUAACACGUGAGUAACCUGCCCUCUUCUUUGGGAUAACGCCCGGAAACGGGUGCUAAUACUGGAUAUUCACUGAUUCUCGCAUGGGGGUUGGUGGAAAGGUUUUUUCUGGUGGGGGAUGGGCUCGCGGCCUAUCAGCUUGUUGGUGGGGUGAUGGCCUACCAAGGCUUUGACGGGUAGCCGGCCUGAGAGGGUGACCGGUCACAUUGGGACUGAGAUACGGCCCAGACUCGUACGGGAGGCAGCAGUGGGGAAUAUUGCACAAUGGGCGAAAGCCUGAUGCAGCGACGCCGCGUGAGGGAUGGAGGCCUUCGGGUUGUAAACCUCUUUCGCUCAUGGUCAAGCCGCAGCGUUGGGUUGUGGUGAGGGUAGUGGGUAAAGAAGCGCCGGCUAACUACGUG
rnacentral:rRNA from 1 species